GACGAACGCUGGCGGCGUGCUUAACACAUGCAAGUCGAACGGAAAGGCCCUGCUUUUGUGGGGUGCUCGAGUGGCGAACGGGUGAGUAACACGUGAGUAACCUGCCCUUGACUUUGGGAUAACUUCAGGAAACUGGGGCUAAUACCGGAUAGGAGCUCCUGCUGCAUGGUGGGGGUUGGAAAGUUUCGGCGGUUGGGGAUAGACUCGCGGCUUAUCCGCUUGUUGGUGGGGUAGUGGCUUACCAAGGCUGUGACGGCUAGCCGGCCUGAGAGGGUGACCGGCGACAUUGGGACUGAGAGAGGGAGCAGAAUCCUACGGGCGGCAGUAGUGGGGAAUAUUGCACAAUGGGCGGAAGCCUGAUGCAGCAGCGCCGCGUGCGGGAUGACGGCCUUCGGGUUGUAAACCGCUUUCGCCUGUGACGAAGCGUGAGUGACGGUAAUGGGUAAAGAAGCACCGGCUAACUACGUG
rnacentral:rRNA from 1 species